UACGUAGGGCGCAAGCGUUGUCCGGAAUUAUUGGGCGUAAAGAGCUCGUAGGCGGUUUGUCGCGUCUGCUGUGAAAUCCUCAGGCUCAACCUGGGGCUUGCAGUGGGUACGGGCAGACUAGAGUGCGGUAGGGGUGACUGGAAUUCCUGGUGUAGCGGUGGAAUGCGCAGAUAUCAGGAGGAACACCGAUGGCGAAGGCAGGUCACUGGGCCGCAACUGACGCUGAGGAGCGGAAAGCAUGGGGAGCGAACAG
rnacentral:rRNA from 1 species